rnacentral:rRNA from 1 species
AUUGAACGCUGGCGGCAGGCCUAACACAUGCGAGUCGAGCGGAUGAAGGGAGCUUGCUCCUGGAUUCAGCGGCGGACGGGUGAGUAAUGCCUAGGAAUCUGCCUGGUAGUGGGGGAUAACGUCCGGAAACGGGCGCUAAUACCGCAUACGUCCUGAGGGAGAAAGUGGGGGAUCUUCGGACCUCACGCUAUCAGAUGAGCCUAGGUCGGAUUAGCUAGUUGGUGGGGUAAAGGCCUACCAAGGCGACGAUCCGUAACUGGUCUGAGAGGAUGAUCAGUCACACUGGAAAUGAAACACGGUCCAGACCCCUACGGGAGGCAGCAGUGGGGAAUUUUGGAAAAGGGGGGAAAGCCUGAUCCCGCCAUGCCGGGGGUGUGAAGAAGGUCUUCGGUUUGUAAAGCACUUUAAGUUGGGAGGAAGGGCAGUAAGUUAAUACCUUGCUGUUUUGACGUUACCAACAAAAUAAGCACCGGCUAACUUCGU